rnacentral:lncRNA from 1 species
UGCCUCCUCUCUUCUGCUCCAGGCACCUGAAGGAAAUCUCGGAGCUACAGAGCCAGCAGAAGCAGGAGAUCGAAGCCCUGUACCGACGCUUGGGCAAGCCGCUCCCUCCCAAUGUGGGGUUCUUCCACACUGCACCCCCUAUGGGCCGCAGGAGGAAAACCAGCAAGAGCAAAUUGAAGGCUGGCAAGCUGCUGAACCCCUUGGUGCAACAGCUCAAGGUCGUGGCCUCCAGCACAGGUCUGCUGCUUCUGUGGGAGGGCCAUACCUGGACUGAGGAGGGAUGGUGCCGGGGGACCCUAAGUUAGCCUGAGAGGCUGCCGGGGGACCCUAAGUUAGCCUGAGAGGCUGGCUCUGGGUUGGUGUAAUAUCUCCAGACCUGGAAGAGUGUAGGUGUUUUCUUUUUCCUGGAUCUCCUUAUACUGGAGCUAGGAGUCUCUGCAAGGCCAGGGAAACCCCAGGCUUCCAUUCUAGUGCUGAUGGAAAGGCCUGUGUGAGGAUAGGGGCUGCAUGGAGCCAGGCCUUGGCCCUGUGUGGAAGGAGGGAGCCACUCCUGGACCACAUUGCAUCUAGGAAGCCCCAGGGCAUUCCAUCCCUGAUCCUACAUGUAGGAUACACCCUGGGAUGGAAGUGACUGCUUCCUCUAGCCCUAUAACUCAGGCACACAUUAGCCCCUGCUUGCUGGGUAUCAGGUGGCUAGGGAGAGGAUAGAGUGUUCUCCAGGCCUUGUGAUAGUGGUACCCAGACCCUGGUGCUGCAGAGCCUGGGCACCAGGCAACACCCUUUGCAUGUCAGGGUUCCCUUGAGGCCCCUAGAGCUGUGGUGCAGUGUGUACUGUGGGGGAUCCAUGAACCCCAAUCUCCAAACAUGACAGAUGGGAAGCCACUACUGAAUGACCCGCAAGCACUCCCUAAUUGUGAACCACUUACACACUGCACAAGUGAUGUAAACACAGUGCCAAUCCCAAAGCUAAGGGGAAGCUCUGCAUUGACGUGUGCAAAGGACGUGUCACUUUGAGCUCACAUCCGUUACCUGCCACUUAACUUGCACAACAUAGGUCUGGCAUGGCACUGGGACUUGGUAAAGGGGGACAUUUUUUUUGAUUGGCCCCAGCACUUCAGAUCAGGAGCUUGUCUGUAUACUGGUUUUCUACAAGAGAUUCAACUUCCCCAAGGUCACCCAGCAGAGAGCAGGAAACCAACCCAGCCAUACCCUUCCCUGCCCAGUGGCGCCUCAUGGUGCCUGUCACCUCUUCUCCCCCCCUCGCCCAGGUCAUUUGUCUGACUCCAGCAGAGGCCCUCCCACUAAGGACCCUGCCCACGCCAGCACGCCCCCGGGCACCAAGGCAGUUCAGACCCAGCAGCCCUGCUCCGUUCGGGCCUCUCUGUCCACAGACAUCUGCUCCGGUUUAGCCAGUGAUGGAGGCGGAGCGCGUGGCCAAGGUGAUUUCCAGCUUGCCUGUCUCCAAGCAUGUGCCAGCCACGUAGGGCCUCAGAGGUGUCCCAGAAGCACGCCUGUGUGUGUAGAGGGGUCCAGAGCUACAGCUAAGGCUGCUAAGCAGCUUUAUAAAAACAAACAGAGGAGAAAAUUGUAAAGGUGUAGUCUUUGAAUACAAAGAAUGGAAUUGUCCCGCCAUGUAAGCGGCUCAGAGGCAGGCGAUGGGUUGCUAAAGGGGACCUCAGGAAGUGGCCAUGACCAGGAGGGAUCAGCCCGAUGACUGGGGAGGGGACGGGGCCUGGCAUCUUGCUGUGUUCUGCGAUGCCUGUUCCUAGGCCCUGGCUACCCUGCCCUGCCUGCUUCCCACAGCAGAGCCAGACGGUGCUAAACACCGCGUCCUUCCAAAGUCCACGGGACGGCUAGGGGACAAGGGCUCAGCUCUCAGGCUGGGAUGUCUGCUCAUCACUGCCAUGGACGGCAGCAGCUGCUCGAUAAGGCGCUUUCCUGUCCUCACCAUCUCUGUCCAGAGAAAUCAUGGUGACCGAUAAAGGUGCCCCACCUGCCCCACCCCUCCUCCUCCGGGCCGCUUCUCUUCCUCUCCUACCGUUUGCCUCCUCCCAUUCUGUGGUCAGUGGCUUUUGGUGCUUGGGCUGGGCUAGGUGGAGCCACGGAUGUUAAGUUACAAGGCUGGUGUGUGGCUGUUGGUGUGGAGGAGGAAUCGCAGCAACCUGUACUUGAUGAGUGUCUCUCUGUUCUCUUCCCUUUAUAUUCAUUUGCAGGCUGGACGGUUUACCACCCAACGUCUGAGAGAGGGGCCUAUAAGUCUAGUAGCAAGCCUCGUGCUCGAUUCCUCAGUGGACCCGUAUCUGUGUCCAUCUGUCUGUAUUUGUUCUUUUGUAUUUUCCCACCUCCUAGCCCUUGGUUUCUCCCCUCCCCCCUCCCACCCCAUCUUCAUCACCUCUCAUACAUUUCAUAGGACACCACUCCAACCCCUAAAAGUCACCUCCUCCAUGCAGAAGGUGGACCCCCACAAGCCUCUCCCAUCGCACACAGUGUCCAUAGUCACCCAGCUCCAGACGGCUGUGUGCAUGCUCUUGGCUGCAUCCAGGCACCAAAAUCAUGCGCAACGGCGUACCUACCUCCGUCCCACACAUGCCGGCGCAUCCCGCACCCCUCCUGUCACCUCAUUUAAUUUCUUUUCUUCUGUUGGACGUAGUUUUCUUUUCUGUUGCAACUGUGGCCAGUAUACAUGUCUGCUGUCUCCCAGUUCCAAUGACAACAAAAAGACAACCCCAGCCUUCUCCAGAGACCUAGUGUGUCACACAUGUACCUGAACUCCCACCACAUGCAUGUAGCAGACUUACAUAGCCCUAAUGUCCCUGGGAGGUGUGACUUCUGUGUAGGGCCCAAAGCCCAGCACCCAGCUCUGUCUCCACCCUCUGUCCCAUUCCCUGCAUGUGGGGAUGCUAAGAAUGUGCUUCAGGGGUGUCAGGGGAGGGGCGAUAGAUCAGUGGCCCAGCACUUGCCUAGCAUGCAAAAGAAAGGCCCUGGGUCCUUUCUAACCCCUGCACUGCAAAACAAAGAACUUGCUCCAGCUAGGGCUUCCUGGUCCUCAAACUCAUCCUACAGGGAGGGCUAGUCCCCUCUGCCAUUUCUCCCUACUCUCUGCUAACUCCAACUCAAAAAGAUGAGUAGACACCUUCCCUGUUCCACGUAGCUCUUGCAUUGGAACCUACAUCCUGCCUGGUCCCUGUUCUCUCCCCUCCUAGCUGGAGCCCUCUGCUCCACAGUCGUCAGCUAACCCAUAUGACAUCAGGGAUGAAGCCAGUGAGGCAGCUCCUCCAACUUCUGCCAGACUCAAACCCAGUGCCAGUCUCCCUCACAGACCCUGGGACUUGUUUCUAGCGCCCAGGAGAGCCCACCUGCUGGGACAGACUCACCCUGGUGCGAUUUGUUUUUAACCCUCAUAAUGAUUGGCAGAUCAAUCCAAAGCUGUGGAGCUUUUAGGUUUUUGUUUUUUUAAU